GCGCACCAGGCGAGAAACCUCCGCAAUGCUCGAAAGAGCGACGGGGGACUCCAAGUGCCUACGCUUUGCGUAGGCUUUUCCCAAGCCUAAAAAGCUUGGGAAUAAGGGCUGGGUAAGACGGGUGCCAGCCGCCGCGGUAAUACCCGCAGCCCGAGUGGUGGCCGCUUUUAUUGGGCCUAAAGCGUCCGUAGCCGGUCUGGUAAAUGCCUGGGUAAAUCGUCUGGCUCAACCAGACGAAUUCCGGGUAGACUGCCAGACUAGGGACCGGAGGAAGGAGAGGGUACUCCGGGGGUAGGGGUGAAAUCCUGUAAUCCUCGGAGGACCACCGGUGGCGAAGGCGCUCUCCUAGGACGGGUCCGACGGUGAGGGACGAAAGCCAGGGGAGCAAACCGGAUUAGAUACCCGUGUAGU
rnacentral:rRNA from 1 species